AUGCGCGGACUUCUCCACGCCAGCCUGGCCCAGCUGUACAGCCACCGUGGCUACCACGGCCCGGCCAUCACCUUCAUGACGCAGGCGGUGGAAGCCAGUGCUGUUGCCGGAGUCCGUGCCAUCAUGGACCGCCUGGUGGCUGUGGCCUGGCUGCACGUGCUUCAGGGGCAGAGCCCAGCGGCCCUGAACAUCCUGCAGUCUGUCCAGGAUGCAGUGGUGGCCAGUGAGGACCAGGAGGGCGUGAAUGCCAACAUGGUGGCCGUGGCUCUGAAGAGAACGGGCCGGACGAGGCAGGCAGCCGAGAGCUACUACUGCGCCCUACGGGUGGCUUGGGACCUGGACCAGAGGAGGAACCAGGCAGUGGUGCUGGCCAACUUCGGGGCCCGGUGCCUGCACGCGGGUGCCAGCAGGCUGGCCCAGCACUACCUCCUGGAGGCCAUGAGGCUGUUCUCGAGGCUGCCCUGCAGGGAGUGUGGCCGGGACUUCACCCACCAGGGCCCGGCUCAGCAGGGCAAGGGCUACUACGAGUGGGCCCGUCUGGUCGCCGUGGAGAUGGGCCACGUGGAGAGGCCUACAAAUCCUCUCUGGACUACACCAAACGAAGUCUGGGGAUUUUCAUUGACCUCCAGAAGAAAAAGGAGGCGGCGCAUGCCUGGCUGCAAGCAUGGAAGAUCUACUACAUCCUGCGGCAGAGCGAGCUGGUGGACCUGUACAUCCAGGGGCACAGAAUGUGGCCCUGUACACAGGCGACCCCAACCUGGGGCUGGAGCUGUUUGAGGCAGCUGGAGACAUAUUCUUCAAUGGGCCUGGGAGCGGGAGAAAGCCGUGUCCUUCUACCGGGUGAGCUGGCCUGUGGGCUGAUGUGGGUGAGCCUCAGGGGGGCACCUGGAGGGCUGAGGCACAGGUGUGGCAGGGCAGAGGCCUCGCACCUGGAGGCAGGGCCACCCAUGCACAUGCUUGGUUUCCUAGUGGUCUCACCAGGAAUGAUACUGACUGUGCCCCCUGCCCGGGACAAACGCUUGGAGCCUGGACAUGGCAAUGGCUCUACCCUUGCCUAGUGGUCUCACCGGGAAUGAUAUUGACCGUGCCUCCUGCCCGGGACAAACGCUCGGGGCCUGGA
rnacentral:lncRNA from 10 species